UACGUAGGUGGCGAGCGUUGUCCGGCAUUACUGGGUGUAAAGCGCGUGUAGGCGGGAGGCCAAGUCUGUGGUGAAAUCGCUCGGCUUAACUGGGCGGGGUCCAUGGAAACUGGUCACCUGGAGGUCGGUAGAGGCAAGUGGAAUUCCCGGUGUAGUGGUGAAAUGCGUAGAGAUCGGGAGGAACACCAGUGGCGAAGGCGGCUUGCUGGGCCGGACCUGACGCUGAGACGCGAAGGCGUGGGGAGCGAACGGG
rnacentral:rRNA from 1 species